rnacentral:tRNA from 1 species
ACUUAAAUAGCUUAUAUUUAGAGUUUAAUAUUGAAGAUAUUAAGGAGAUUAAUAAAAUCUUUAAGUA